UUGUAUAAAGAGAUGAGAAAAGUUUGGUACUUCCCCUGACAAGGAUGAAAUAACACAAAUACUGUUAAGGCCUACUUAACCACAAUUUUUU
rnacentral:ncRNA from 1 species